rnacentral:rRNA from 1 species
UACGGAGGAUGCAAGCGUUAUCCGGAAUGAUUGGGCGUAGAGCGUCCGCAGGUGGCUAUGUAAGUCUGCUGUUAAAGAGUGAGGCUCAACCUCAUAAGAGCAGUGGAAACUACAUGGCUAGAGUGCGUUCGGGGCAGAGGGAAUUCCUGGUGUAGCGGUGAAAUGCGUAGAUAUCAGGAAGAACACCGGUGGCGAAAGCGCUCUGCUAGGCCGCAACUGACACUGAGGGACGAAAGCUAGGGGAGCGAAUGGG